rnacentral:misc_RNA from 1 species
AAGUAAAAGUCGUAACAAGGUUUCCGUAGGUGAACCUGCGGAAGGAUCAUUACAAGUGAGGCUACCGAACGUUGGAAACAGCGGUUAGGAGCUUACACCCACCCGUGUUUACAUACUAUUGUUGCUUUGGCGGGCCGUGGCCUCCACUGCGGGCUCUGCUCGUGUGUGCCCGCCAGAGAACCAAACUCUGAGUGUUAGUGAUGUCUGAGUACUAUCUAAUAGUUAAAACUUUCAACAACGGAUCUCUUGGUUCUGGCAUCGAUGAAGAACGCAGC